rnacentral:sRNA from 1 species
GGAGACAGUCAUAGAGAAAUGUGUUGUUGGCAUCGAUUUCCUAUGGUUGGGCAAUGGCUUCCGCCAUCUGGACCAGGUGACGUCAGCUAUCUGGAUUUCUGCCAGCAUUCCCCGGCCCAGGAAACAGACUUCCGGCUGUCUGGGCUCUGAGCCAUCUUCGGCCUCCUGGAGUUGGAUGCUGAAACUUGCAGUCACACAAGGACUUGAACCUAGAGCUUUUCUAAAGCCCGUACUCUUUCCAGUACCCUGAGCCAGGGGAGCCAGCGGGCAGAAAUGACGUGUGAGGUACCCUCUCUCUCUUCACUUCCAUGUGAUCUGUUACUCAUUUUGUCAAGACAUCCUGGGUCCCAGGUGCCAGGUGCUACACAAGAUACUGGCUAUAGCAGCGAACAGGACAGCCCGUCUCAUCCUCAUGGAGGUCACAGGACAAUAAGAAGAAAGACUUUUUUAUUUUUAUUUUUUUGAGACGGAGUUUUGCUCUUGUUGCCGAGGCUGGAGUGCAGUGGUGUGAUCUCGACUCACUGCAACCUCCGCCUCCCAAGUUCAAGCAAUUAUCCUGCCUCAGGCCUCUUGAGUAGCUGGGAUUACAGGCACCUGCCACCACUCCUGGCUAAUUUUUUGUAUUUUUAGUAGAGACAGGGGUUUCAUCAUGUUGGCCAGGCUGGUCUCGAACUCCUGACCUCAGGUGAUCCACCCACCUCGGCCUCCCAAAGUGCAGGGAUUACAGGCAUGAGCCAUCGAACCCGGCCCAAGAAGAAAGACAUUGAACAAGUAAUUACAGGGUAUUGGGUGUUAUGAAAGAAAAGCAUGGUACUGUAUAAUGAGGUCAUCUAAUUUAGUCUGGGGUGACAAGGAAUGCCUACUAAAGAAGGUAUCGUUUAAGACAUACCUGGGGAAUAGCGGUAGUGAAAAUAGAAGCUCCAGAAAUGCAGGGACCAUGGCUGACAUGUUUACCAUGCCAGUGUCUGGCAUGGAAGAGGCCCAAUUCCUUUGGUUGAAAGGAUGAAGUAAUCUAGCUGAAUAAAGGGUGUGUGCGUGCACGCAGGUGUGUUUGUAGUUAACCUUCCUUUAGCUCAGCUUAGGAAACAGCUUUUGUAAAACUGCGUAACUAGUAGUAGGUGAGAGAGGAAUACGAAUGAUAUACACACCAUUAAAGACAACUUACUAACAGCAUGA